rnacentral:rRNA from 1 species
AGCGGCGGAUGGGUGAGUAACACGUGGGGAACCUGCCCCUAAGUCUGGGAUACCAUUUGGAAACAGGUGCUAAUACCGGAUAAUAAAGCAGAUCGCAUGAUCAGCUUUUGAAAGGCGGCGUAAGCUGUCGCUAAGGGAUGGCCCCGCGGUGCAUUAGCUAGUUGGUAAGGUAACGGCUUACCAAGGCGACGAUGCAUAGCCGAGUUGAGAGACUGAUCGGCCACAUUGGGACUGAGACACGGCCCAAACUCCUACGGGAGGCAGCAGUAGGGAAUCUUCCACAAUGGACGCAAGUCUGAUGGAGCAACGCCGCGUGAGUGAAGAAGGUUUUCGGAUCGUAAAGCUCUGUUGUUGGUGAAGAAGGAUAGAGGUAGUAACUGGCCUUUAUUUGACGGUAAUCAACCAGAAAGUCACGGCUAACUACGUGCCAGCAGCCGCGGUAAUACGUAGGUGGCAAGCGUUGUCCGGAUUUAUUGGGCGUAAAGCGAGCGCAGGCGGAAAAAUAAGUCUAAUGUGAAAGCCCUCGGCUUAACCGAGGAACUGCAUCGGAAACUGUUUUUCUUGAGCGCAGAAGAGGGAAGUGGAAUUCCAUGUGUAGCGGUGAAACGCGUAGAGAUAUGGAGGAACACCAGUGGCGAAGGCGGCUUCCUGGUCUGUAACUGACACUGAGGCGCGAAAGCAUGGGUAGCGAACAGGAUUAGAUACCCUGGUAGUCCAUGCCGUAAACGAUGAGUGCUAAGUGU